rnacentral:tRNA from 1 species
UAGGGUGUCGUACAACUGGUUAGUACACAGGACUUUGACUCCUGUAAUAUGGGUUCGAGUCCCGUCACCCUUG